AAAUAAAUAACUAAACAAAAAAGUGUGUUAUUUACAAUAACAAAAUGAUUUUUAAAAUCUUUA
rnacentral:tRNA from 1 species